rnacentral:snRNA from 1 species
AUGCUUGCUUCAGCGGCACAUAUACUAAAAUUGGAAUACUACAGAGAAGAUUGGCAUGGCCCCUGAGCAAGGGUGACAUGCAAAUUUGUGAAGUGUUCUUUAUUUUU